AGCGCGCGGGAUCCGGUGGCGACUGACAAAAUGGCUGCUGCACCACCGGAAGUGACGCAAGCCAAGGGCGGAGGCUGAGCCUUGAUUGGACCGCUCUUGCUUUCUGGAUGGAGCGAGCCCAUCGAGUGACGUCACUACUGCGGCCGGACAUUUUGGAAGCGGUCUUUUGGAAAACUAAAUAAAGAGAGCCAUCUUCUGGAAUAAUCUGGUAUUGCAGAUUGGCUCAAAAAGAUGUUGUUACCCUUGUAUGGGCGACCCUAUAGGAUAUCAUGGCAGAAAGCCCACUACACUGCUGGCCCUUAAAGAAGAAAUUGAAAAUGCAUGUGCAGCAAUCACAAUGACCAAGGUUACCUAAGUAGCAGUUCACCAUACUAACGUCUGGAAGCUAACAGCCAUCACUUUGUAGAGGCCAAAGGUAACUUGUAUCAAUUUCAUGCAGUCUCAGUAAAUUUAGUAUUAAAAUAUUUAUACAAGGUUUUCUCUGUAUAACUGUAUAAUCUACUCUUUACUGAAUCUUAAAGAUAGGAUAAGUUCAUACCCCCCCCCAUGUCUCUCUGUUUUCCUCCCCUUCCCCUGUUAUUUACUUUUAAGAAGGGGUCUCACUUUGUUGCUCAGGCUGGCCUCCAACUUCUAGGCUAAAGUAAUUCUCCUGCUUCAGCCUCCAGAACAGCUGUAAUUAAUAGGCUCAUGCCACCGUGCCCAGCUCUUUUUGUUUUGAUGUGUGGUUAUAUGCUGGUAAUAAAAGAUGUCAUGGGAUGGUGAUAUGUAUGGUACUAGAAAUGCUGUCAAGUUACAAAUGUGUUUCUGUAGUUGGUGGCAGCAGUGCUAAAUCAUGAGAAUACCAUGUAUGGUUUCCAUUAUAAUGACUGUUGUAUAAAAGCAGCCAUAGACCAUAAGUAAAUAAAUAAGCAUGACUGUGUCACAAUAAAAUUUUAUUUAUGGACACUGAAAUGUGAACUUCAUACAAUUGUAUGUCACUAAAUGUAAUUCCCCAGCCAUUUAAAACAUAAAAACCACAAUUAUCAGGAAUAAGGCAAGAUAUCCACUCUCAUCACUCAUAUUCAAGGUAGUUCUUGAAAUUUUAGCUACAGCAAUUAGGCAAAAGAAAAAAUAAAAGGGAUUCAAAUAGGAAAGGAAAUGGUCAAAUUAUCCUUGUUUGCAGGUGAUGUGAUCCUAUACUUAGAAGACCCUAAAGAUUCCACCAAAAGACUUUUAGAGCUGAUAAAUGAGCACAGUUUCUACUGUUAUCUGAGAAAUUAUUUCUGAUUACAUUUUUUCCAGAUCCUCUUGUUGCCAGUUCAGGGAGUCCAAGUGGUUGAGUAUCAGAUUGUUCCAUCUCGUUUCCCUUUGUGGUUGCUUUAGGUGAUCUGGAAGUCUGGUUUUGAGACUUGUUUAUGUGUCUUCUCAUUUCAAGCAGGGGGUGGGGUAGUGCUGCUGGCGCCCAUGUGGCUCACCUCGGUGCUGGGGGUCCUCUGCUCCUCGGCACUCUAGAGCUGAUAAAUGAAUUUAGCAAUGUAGCAGGAUAUAAAGCCAACAUUAAAAUAACCAAUGGCUUUAUUAUGUACCAGUAAUGGACUAGCUGAGAAAGAAAUCAGGAAAACAAUUCUGUUUACAAUAGCCUCAAAUAAAACACCUAGGGAUCAAUCUAACCAAGGAGGUAAAAGACUUCUACAAUUAAAAUUUCAGAACAUUGGAGAAAGAAAUUUAUUUUUUGGCAGUGUUAACAAAAUAGACUUUAAUGAGAAAAAUAAAAAUAUAGUA